rnacentral:rRNA from 1 species
UACAGAGGGUGCAAACGUUGUUCGGAAUUACUGGGCGUAAAGCGCGUGUAGGCGGCUUGGCAAGUCGGGUGUGAAAGCCCUGGGCUUAACCUAGGAAGUGCACUCGAAACUGCCGAGCUUGAGUUCUGGAGAGGAAGGCGGAAUUCUCGGUGUAGAGGUGAAAUUCGUAGAUAUCGAGAGGAACACCGGUGGCGAAGGCGGCCUUCUGGACAGCAACUGACGCUGAGACGCGAAAGCGUGGGGAGCAAACAGG